UACAGAGGUCUCAAGCGUUGUUCGGAAUUACUGGGCGUAAAGCGCGUGUAGGCUGCUCGGAAAGUCGGAUGUGAAAGCCCUGGGCUCAACCUAGGAAGUGCAUUCGAAACUCCCGAGCUGGAGUCCUGGAGAGGAAGGCGGAAUUCUCGGUGUAGAGGUGAAAUUCGUAGAUAUCGAGAGGAACACCGGUGGCGAAGGCGGCCUUCUGGACAGUGACUGACGCUGAGACGCGAAAACGUGGGGAGCAAACAGG
rnacentral:rRNA from 1 species